CAGCUGCAAAGACGAGGUGGGGAGCUCCCGGGUACUCCCAGAUUGCACCAGAAGAAGAGGGUGGAGUGGCCUUUACAGUUGUUUCAGGCUGUCAUCGGAUUUCCAGCCAUCAAACUGAAGCAAGACCUCAAAUGUCAUUUAAGAUUUCAAGUUAGCUUCUAACUGGAGUCUCCGAGGCAAAAUCUCAAUCUGACAAAUAAUUGAAUAACCCAGUUUUCUAACAAAAAAAGACCAACAUCUGCUAUAAAGAGCAUUUUCAUGGUUGUAACAUUUAGUCCUAGGUUUAGUCAAAUAUUACGGGAAUGCAUGCAAAUGCCUGUGGAUUUCCAGGAAUUUGCAGAUAGCUGUCAGCAUCCCAGGUUUCCCAUUGCAAUGCAUGAUAAACAGGAAAGGUAGAACGAUCCCUUGAAUUUCUUGUUAAUUGUGCCUAUAAAUAAGAGAACAAACACUUUUUCUUUUAAAUCCUCUCUGCGUACUUCAGACAAACAUUGUGCUGGCUAAAAAGGCUGAACCAGCCAGUAAGGCUUGCUGGUCCACGCUGACAUGCUUGCAGUGAUCUGUGCAUGGGUUCGGAAGGAAGCAUGACUGAACGUUUCUAUAGAGAUUAGAAAGAACAGGUCUUGUUUCCCAGCCAUAGCCUUGAUUAGCAAAUACUUAAAGUUAGGAAGAUCUGUUGUUUUUACAAGGACAUUUUGUUCCAGCAGUGGUUGUGUUUUCCUCCCUUUGCUCAAGCUGCGAGAGGCUGGGAGGCCAAAGGAGCCCAGGGUGAACAAGAGCUUUCUGUCUCUCACAUCCACAACACCUGCCUGAGAGGUACCAUGCUGCAAGGACACCUGGAGUCUGAGGCUGCUGCUUUGUCGCAGCAGAAUCGGGAGAGGUUUCCCCAGAACAAAACGCAUUCUCUUCAACUCAAAAGGGUGGAUUUAAGCAUUCAGUACGUGAGCCAUGAACUCUGGAGAACACUCCCGUAAGGAGACUGUCAAAGCCCAGGUGUUUCUCUAACCUUUUAAAGUCUGGCUUGGUGAACAAGCAAAGAAGGGAACUGUUUGGGAUCAGACAAGCCAUACAACCAACCUAAUCUCUACAUGCAGCAAUGAGAUCAAAUCAGGAAGAAAUGGCUUGGAAAUACUAGUACAAAGAACCCCUUCCUUGUGUAAUUCAUCCUGCUUUCCCAGCAGCUUUCAGCUCAUGUGUUACGGUUUGUCCUAACUCCUCCAUGCUUUUUUCUUGCCUGCUUAAAAAAAGUAAGUCACUGCUGGUCAGAGCUCUGCUGAGAGCAACUGAGAACUGUUACUACAACAGAAGCGUUUGGGAGACUGUUGCCUACUGUUGGUUUGGGGUUUGGGGGCGGGUGAGAGGAAAGAUUGCCCAAGGUUUGGGAGAUAAACUGGGCUCUUUGUGUUGCUAAAGCAUUUUGGACCCUUUGGUUUUCUUAUUUGCUGGAGGAAGACCCUAGACUAUGCCUACAACAAAGGAAUUUAUAACACAUGUCAGGCUGCCCAGGCAGAGUCCUUCAUUUUCCUCUUUGUAAUUCAAAACAGCAUUUGCAUCCUUGCUGGAAGUGGAGCCCUCCUUAACUUUUCCUCACUCCAGGGAAAGGAAGUGCUGAAGGAUGGGGCAGUUAAGCAUACAUGAACCCAAGCAUCUCCUGUGCAUGGGAAUUCCACUGGAGAAAGGCAUCCAUUGUGCUGAAACAGCUGCCCUCCAGAGCUGAUAUUUAAAGCUGCAGGCUGUCACUCGUUGGCAGUUGAGAUCUUGGUUUUGCUCUGGAGGAGCUAAUACCAUCCUAUAAUCCAGGCAGGAAAGAUCUGUGUGGGGUUUACCAUAUAUUAAGUGCUAUGCAAAACUGUAAAAUUCUUCAAAUGCACAUUAAUUUUAUUACAUGAACAAAAUGCUUUUACAGCAGAUCAGAUUUGUUCCAGUUGUUUGCUUGUGCCUUGGUCCUCCCUAAGGCCUUAAUACAUGAGGGGAAAGAGAAAUUUAUCUUUACUUUUAUUUAUCUUGGAGUCAGACCUGGAUGAGGUCUCAAGCAGUAAUAAUAAUAUCACUUCAUUAGCCCAAAUAUACCUGUGUCAGGGGCAUGUGGCAUCAAAGAAAAACCUCACCUGCAAGUUGGUGUGAAAAUGAGGAGCUCUCUGAGCAUGUCCUACUUGUGCUUACAUGUUGACAGACCGGUCCACCACCAAUAGUGCAUUGGCCAAGCACUUCCCACUGACCAGGGCAAUGCAAGGUGGUGACUCUCACUCAAGAGCCAUCAAAUCACCCACAUUUCCCCUACCACUACUGAUGAAAUUUAAAAUAAGUUUAGUGGAGCUCAUCAUGGAAAAUAUAUUCCCUCCACCCAAUCAAACAGACAGAGAGGGUAUGAAGGGUUGCCACACCUUCCCAGUGCCGAGAGUUAUCAGCUUGUAUCCUGCUAUACCGUGCAUCAUUAAAUUUGACUGGCCCUAGUUAUCAUCUCAGCAGCAGAAGUUAUUAUAGUUUAUAUGAAAUGAUACAUUUCUUCUUUAAAUUCAGAUGCAACAUUUGAUUCAAUGACUGAUUCAAUUUACCACUCAAUUUCUCAGAAUGGCUUAGUAAUAAACUGCAUGAAGAAGCAAUCCAUUUUUGUUGGGGCUCAUUAGUACUGAUCUAGUUAUAUCAAGUGUUGCCCUUUCCAGUCUUGGGGAGAAAGUAACGCAAAGGAAUUCGUGCUUCUCGGUUUCAACCUUUUAUAAUUUUGAAUGUGUCAGUCAACCUUCCUUUUUCUUUCUGGAGCAAAUCACUUACUUACUUACAUUUUGCAUCCUACUAUGAUGGCUUGAACCUUGCACUUACUUUUGUAAGGGACUUUCACUGCCAUUUCACAGUCAUAUCUAGCCUCUUUUAUGGUUUUUUUCUUUUUUUCAAUGUACAUAACCAAGAUCCAAUUCACAUAUCUUUUAAAAGUGAAAGUUACACAAGCAAAAGGUAAUAUUGUCAAUGAAGAGAAUAAGGUCCCAUGGAAAGGCCGUUGGAUGAAAGUCAAGAAAUCUAAGCUUAGUUUAUCAUCUUCUAUUGUCUGCUCUGGCAGCUUUGAGCAAGCCACCAUAUCUCUUUGUGCUUGUUUCUUAUUCCACUCUGAAGAAAAACUGAGGCACUGUUGUGAUUUCCUUCAUUUUCUCUACACUGCUAAGUGUCAGUGAACCCAAAUCUUAUUUGUGGCUUUGUAAUGCAAGUGAGCAAAAUGUGAUAGUCUAGUGUCAAAACAGUCACUUUGCUCUCUUCAGGAAAACACUGGAGAACCUGUUAUGUUGUACAUACCAGUGUAAGUAUGUGAUUAACAAGUUUGGUGCAAGUGUUCCUGGAAAGACAUUUUCCACAUCAGUAAUUCAGAAGCCUCUCAAAUUUUAAAUCAGACAGACAGUCACAAAAUUCCUCAGAAUAAAUUGUAUCUCGUCUUGCUAGGCCUGAGUCUCCCUGUGAAUCUCAGAAAAAUGACAGCAUGAGCAAUGAGCCUGAGAAACAGCCAGAAGGCACUGGCGAGCCCAGAGGAGCUUGGACCCCAGGGAUGCAGGUCCAGCAGCUUCCAGAUUAAGGGUGCUCCUCACCACCAGCGCUACAGGGAAGCAUGCCUGGGUGCAGCAUUCCCAGUUUCUGAUAAAUGUGGCGUUUUGGGGUUACCUCCCCAUCCUUCCUUCCCAGAGCCGAGCAUUGGCUCUCUGCUUUGGCUCAGUUCAUUGCACUGGACUGAAGCGAGCUUUUUCACCGUAGUAUAACCACCUAAUGGCAGCCACAAAAAGUCCUUGGAAACCACUGUUUGCCAUCUGUGGUGGCAGGCCCUUCUCGGGGAGGACAUGCAGGUUGGGAUGGAGUUACGUGGGACGUCCCGAGCUUCACGCAGGUUUGUGCCCUGCGGCUCUCCCCUCGAAAUGCAAUGUUCUGCCAAAACCAGGGUGAUGCUGAGGGCCUCCCGCCCCGACAUCCGCUUCUGCACCCCCAGACGGGGGGCUGACCUGCAGGUCGCUGCUGUUGCAAGUUUCGGGAGGCCUCGCUACUGAGCAACCCCCUCUUGCCCAAAUCCCUGCUGGUGACCUGCAAGUGAGAGGUGCCGCGGGGGGGAGGUGGGGAGCUGUCUGUUGUCACUGUGGAAAUGGGAUCUCCUCUGACCGGAUUAAUCUCCGCAAUCUGGGAAAACACGGUUUCAGUUUUCUCUUUUGUAACAGCAAUCCCUGUUGUCAAGUUAGAUUAUAGAGCUGAACGGCUAGAUUAUGCUGUCAAAUGCUUGCUUCUGCGAGACUGUGUUGAACGGGUCAAGUGUCGCGCCUCUCCUUGUUCUUUGCAUAGCUCUUCUGGUUGAUUUUUUACAUCCUGCUAAGAGUGAAGAUGCCUUGAACCAGCCUUGAGCAGAGAACAGAGAAGACUAGCAUGCCUCCUGGAGUGAAGGAUUGCUGCUGAGCGGAGCUGAGGUUUUCACAGCAAAAGCAGAGUUACACAGAUACGUCUCUGAACCACAUGCUGGGCUCAGGACCAAGCAACAGAAAUAGCACCGCUGAGCUUUUUCUCCAUUUGGCCAUUGAAUUUAGAUACCUUGAACUUCAGGGAAAUUUGAGUUUGGAUUUUAAGCACCUCGGGAUCUGAAGCACCUCAGACUAUUGGGAGGCGUUGUGGUGAGCCCAGGAGAGAAGCGUGCAGUCACAACAGGAUACAGAACCUGGACCUGCGAUUUCCAACAGGCCCACCUCCAACCUUUUAUAUUAAAGUCUAAUGAAUUCAGCUGCAGACAAUACCUGCUCUGUCCUGUGCAAUUUCAUAGAGCAUUGCACUGC